UUUCUGUAGAACAUACUGAAUGUAGUAUCCUUCAAUGAAGCCUUGUAUCUUAAGUCAACAACAAGAGCAAGCGUGCUUGCCUUGUUGGAAGUUGGCAACACUGUCCCUGUGCUUGGAGGUUGUUUAGACAACCAGCAGCUCUGUUAAAUUCAUUAACAAAGUCCACAGAUCAAACGACGGUGGUCCAAAGUUUUGUGUUCUUGAAUAAUGAGAACUGGGGAAACUUGUGGAUUAAAAUAUGACCGGCCUACCCUUGAAAAGGGGUUAGACUCAUGCGUUCCGUAGGUGAACCUUCGGAAGGAUCAUUACUGUGAACUUGCCCUUUUGGGUAGAUCUCCCACCCUAUGUUUAUAUACUUUGUUGCUUUGGCAGGCCUGCAUUUGUGCUGCUGGCCUUUGGCUAGUUAGUGCCUGCCAGAGAACCAACACUCUGAAUCAUUUUUUGUCUGAGUACUAUCUAAUAGUUAAAACUUUCAACAACGGAUCUCUUGGUUCUG
rnacentral:misc_RNA from 1 species